GCAAACUUGGUCAUUUAGAGGAAGUAAAAGUCGUAACAAGGUUUCCGUAGGUGAACCUGCGGAAGGAUCAUUCACAAUAAGUGUUCAAUGGCACUUUAAAAUCCAUUACCCACCUUGUGUGCAAUGUAAGGGAGAGAGUCCUUUUGGGGGCCCUCUUUCAUUAUAUAUACCAAAUCUUCUCUUGUUGUCUACUUUUUGAGUACAAAAAACUCGAAUACAACUUUCAACAACGGAUCUCUUGGCUCUCGCAUCGAUGAAGAACGCAGC
rnacentral:misc_RNA from 1 species